rnacentral:rRNA from 1 species
AUUGAACGCUGGCGGAAUGCUUUACACAUGCAAGUCGAACGGCAGCACGGGGGCAACCCUGGUGGCGAGUGGCGAACGGGUGAGUAAUACAUCGGAACGUGCCCAAUCGUGGGGGAUAACGUAGCGAAAGCUACGCUAAUACCGCAUACGAUCUACGGAUGAAAGCGGGGGAUCGCAAGACCUCGCGCGAAUGGAGCGGCCGAUGGCAGAUUAGGUAGUUGGUGGGGUAAAGGCUCACCAAGCCAACGAUCUGUAGCUGGUCUGAGAGGACGACCAGCCACACUGGGACUGAGACACGGCCCAGACUCCUACGGGAGGCAGCAGUGGGGAAUUUUGGACAAUGGGCGAAAGCCUGAUCCAGCCAUUCCGCGUGCAGGAUGAAGGCCUUC